AUGGAGUUUGUGCUUGGCUGGGUGUUCCUGGUUGCUCUUUUAAAAGGUGUCGAGUGUGACGUGCAGCUGGUGGAGUCUGGGGGAGACCUGGUGAAGCCUGGGGGUCCCUGAGACUCACCUGUGUGGCCUCUGGAUUCACCUUCAGUAGCUACUACAUGCACUGGGUCCGCCAGGCUCCAGGGAAGGGCCUGCAGUGGGUCGCAUAUAUUUAUACUGAUGGAAGUAGCACAUUCUACGCAGACUCCGUGAAGGGCCGAUUCACCAUCUCCAGAGACAACGCCAAGAACACGCUGUAUCUGCAGAUGAACAACCUGCAGGCCGAGGACAAGGCCACAUAUUACUGUGCAAGACACAGGCGCAUGUGCAUUCGCACCUACAAGCACCGCAACAAUCCACCCCAGGAGCCUAAAAGCGCCAUCUAG